rfam:Triticum aestivum genome assembly, contig: Triticum_aestivum_CS42_TGACv1_scaffold_486091_6AS
UUUGUACUCCCUCCGUCCGAAAAUACUUAUCAUCGAAAUGGAUAAAAGAACAUGUAUUUAUAACUAAAAUACAUCUAGAUAUAUCCUUUUUUAUCCAUUUUGAUAACAAGUAUUUCCGGACGGAGGGAGUAGGAA